UCCUGGCUCAGGAUGAACGCUAGCUACAGGCUUAACACAUGCAAGUCGAGGGGCAGCAGAUCGAUAGCUUGCUAUUGAUGCUGGCAACCGGCGCACGGGUGAGUAACGCGUAUCCAACCUUCCCUAUAGUAGAGGAUAGCCCGGCGAAAGUCGGAUUAAUACUCUAUGUUGUAUUUAGAGGACAUCUGAAGAAUACCAAAGGUUUACCGCUAUAGGAUGGGGAUGCGUCUGAUUAGGUAGUCGGCGGGGUAACGGCCCACCGAGCCUACGAUCAGUAGGGGUUCUGAGAGGAAGGUCCCCCACAUUGGAACUGAGACACGGUCCAAACUCCUACGGGAGGCAGCAGUGAGGAAUAUUGGUCAAUGGGCGAGAGCCUGAACCAGCCAAAAGUAGCGUGCAGGAUGACGGCCCUAUGGGUUGUAAACUGCUUUUAUACGGGGAUAAAGUGAGGGACGCGUCUCUUUUUGUAGGUACCGUAUGAAUAAGGACCGGCUAAUUCCGUGCCAGCCGCCGC
rnacentral:rRNA from 1 species